rfam:Singulisphaera acidiphila DSM 18658, complete genome.
GGGGGCGAACUAGGAUCGACCGGAUUGCUGAAGUGACAGGUGGCGUGUCGAGGUUGGUCAGCGGGCCUCGUAAAAAGCAGACCAAAAUUUAGUUGCCGAGAGGACACCCUCUCUCCGUAUGGCUGCCUGAACGAAGGCAGAAACGGCUUCGCGACGGACCUUUUGCUCGUGAGUUCCGUCCGAAGACGCCAAAGCGAGCUCGUCCAAGCUUAACCGCCUAUUGCGGCUUGGAUUAAAUUCAUGAUGGGAUAAGCCGAAAGGGACCCUGUUGCUCGGGGCUUCUAGGCCGACAAUUAAAUGGGCGACUACACACGUAGAGGCCGUCAUCGAUGGAUCUCGGGACGCGGGUGCAAUUCCCGCCGCCUCCACUU